UACGUAGGGUGCGAGCGUUGUUCGGAAUUAUUGGGCGUAAAGCGCGUGUAGGCGGCUUUGCAAGUCGGGUGUGAAAGCCCUCAGCUCAACUGAGGAAGUGCGCCCGAAACUGCAGAGCUUGAGUACCGGAGAGGAUGGUGGAAUUCCCCAAGUAGAGGUGAAAUUCGUAGAUAUGGGGAGGAACACCGGUGGCGAAGGCGACCAUCUGGACGGAUACUGACGCUGAGACGCGAAAGCGUGGGUAGCAAACAGG
rnacentral:rRNA from 1 species